rnacentral:rRNA from 1 species
GCUAACGUCCGUCGUGAAGAGGGAAACAACCCAGACCGCCAGCUAAGGUCCCAAAGUCAUGGUUAAGUGGGAAACGAUGUGGGAAGGCCCAGACAGCCAGGAUGUUGGCUUAGAAGCAGCCAUCAUUAAAGAAAGCGUAAUAGCUCACUGGUCGAGUCGGCCUGCGCGGAAGAUGUAACGGGGCUAAACCAUGCACCGAAACGGCAGAAAGAGC